CGGGGCGUGGCGCAGUUUGGUAGCGCGCUUGCUUUGGGAGCAAGAAGUCCCCAGUUCGAGUCUGGGCGCCCCGACCA
rnacentral:tRNA from 1 species